rnacentral:sRNA from 1 species
GCUGGGUGUGGUGGCGUACACCUGUAAUCCCAGCGGCUCUGGGGGCUGAGGCAGGAGGAUCACAAGUUCAAAGCCACCCUCAGCCACUUAGUGAGGACCUAAACAACUCAGUGAGUCUCUGUCUCUA